rnacentral:piRNA from 1 species
UUGGUAUCGCUCCAGAUUUCC